UGCUCUUCUCAUGAGGAGGCUAACAGUCCAGUACUGCCUCUAAUUUCUAAUCAAUUUUGCACAAAUUGGGCCAGCGUGCUUCAAAUUUCUACUGUCAAUUUAUCUUCCAUUGAUCUUCGUUGUUUUACUACUGACUCCCGAAAAAUUUACCAAAGUUUCUUAUAGUUAUUCUAGAAAUUCCGGUGGUCAGUCUCUGUAAUUUCUUCUCACUUUUUUCUUCUCUUUCUCUAUUCCAGACUUUCUAUGUUCAUUUUUCAAAUUAUGCUCUUUCUACCGUGAGGAAUCAAGAAAAAAUUUAACAAGAAAAAUCCUAAUACGAAGGUUGUAUCAGCUGUAAGCCUUCGUGAUUAUUUCAUAUGCGCUGCUUCCUUUUUAUUGGUACUGAUAACCUUGUGGUUCCCUUUUGGGUCAGAGUUCUCCCCUCCCUCCUUCUUUCAGGGCCAUAGGUCUGCAGCUUCCCAUGAGAAAGGACAGCCAACACAGAAGAACUGAUUUUCCGGUAGAAUCAAUUGAUGACCCGUAAAAAACUUUGUUUAUGACUUAAUAUUUUUGGAGGUGACAUCUCUGUAAAAGAAGAUACUAAAUUUUAUUGAUGAGUUUUUGCAUUAGACAUUUAUAUAUUUUAUUAGUCUUAAUUCUAUUAAAUUUCAUCAUAUCCAUUAUUAUUUGUUUGCUUUGUGUACACUCAGACUUUGCUCUUUCCUGUGAGGUAUUUCAGGAAGUUGAGAAAGAUGAACAACUAGAUUGAAACAUCAUAUGAAGACCCCAAUAGCAUAUAGUAAAUUUUCUAUUUAAAGGUUUCUUUUAACUUUCCUUUUUGUUGUAUUAUAAUAUCGUAUCCUCAUUAUCUGCUAUAAUCUUCAUUGUUGGAUGA